GACGAACGCUGGCGGCGUGCUUAACACAUGCAAGUCGAACGGAAAGGCCCUGCUUUUGUGGGGUGCUCGAGUGGCGAACGGGUGAGUAACACGUGAGUAACCUGCCCUUGACUUUGGGAUAACUUCAGGAAACUGGGGCUAAUACCGGAUAGGAGCUCCUGCGGCAUGGUGGGGGUUGGAAAGGUUCGGCGGUUGGGGAUGGACUCGCGGCUUAUGAGCUUGUUGGUGGUGUAGUGGCUUACCAAGGCUUUGACGGGUAUCCGGCCUGAGAGGGUGACCGGAAACAUGAGGACGGAGAUAAGGCCUGGAUGGCUACGGGAGGCAGCAGUGGGGAAUAUAGCAUAAUGGGGGGAAGCCUGAUGUAGAAAAGCCGCGUGCGGGAAGAUGGCCUGCGGGGUGGAAACAGCUUUCGUCUGAGACGAAGCGUGAGUGACGGUAAUGGGUUAAGAAGCAACGGCUAACUACGUG
rnacentral:rRNA from 1 species